rnacentral:lncRNA from 1 species
CUUCCUUGAGAUACAAUUGCUAGGGGACGUGUGAGACACACUGAGACAUGCAUCGAAAGAGAGUGACCAACCGAGAGUGGAGUCACAGUGUGGGUUGUGGUGAAGAUAUUGUAAUACAGCGGCCAUUACAGAUCUAGGGGGGAGUAGGGAAGAAGCAGAGGAGCAGCUUUUAGGGAAUAGGUGACCCACAUCACGAGGCUCAGGCUUAGUUUCCCUCGAGCCCUGUGUUUCUGAGUAGUAGGAGGAGUAGCUA